AAAAUUAUUUUGCUUGGUUGCCUUUUUUUUUUUUUGGUUGCCUUUUGUGGACAUCGAAACAACGCACCUGCAACAUCACGCCUCCGUCGACAUGACUGACAGCUGCUUGUCCCGCCUCCCCGACAAACCCGCGCGGCUCGCCCGAACCUUGACGGAAGCGCGCGCCGAUUGGCCAGGGUCCUGCCGGUGACGGAUUGGUCGCGUGACGUCUCGCCCGGUCCAAGACCCGGAACGGUGUUCAUCCGGCUUUUGCGACAGCGCGAACGACUACUCGGCGCGUCGUUUGCCGAGGCCGCGACUGGACGUGGCGCGCCAGCAGACAAAGCAAAGGUGGCCGAGGCAUUUGCGUGUCAAUCGUAAUCUCUUUAUAUCUUGGGGGACUAAAAUCUCUGGGAGGCAACACAACACCACAAAUGUUAGAAGGAACAAAGAACCAAUUGAAACUUGAAAACGUCUACACGUGAACUUGCUCGUGUGGGUAUGUGUGCUGCGGAAGUUUGGAAAGGUUCCAUGUCAACUGCAAGAACAACCGAGUGUAACCCAGCCUUGAUAAGACUGUUAUUUUAUUGUUAGUUUCUGUAGGGUGAUAUUUGUUUUUGAUACUGCUGUUUCCGAGGGACGACGAACGCAGCGCUCGGAGCGAGGACUCGUUAGCGAGAGAGACGGAACAUUCUCGCACUUUCCCAGGCGGGUCGAACGAAAGAACGAUAAAUGAAAACUUGUCCUUGAACCUCUACCUGUGCAAGAUAGUAGAGUUGUAUCCUGUGGAAAUCUUUCUCUUUUUUCUUUCCAAGGCAAGAGAAGGGUUUAGAAGAGAUAACCUUCCUGGCUGUUUUUUGGGGGGACUCCUAGACCAUCAAAAGAUGGGACUACGUAGUCUGGAGACUGGAUGCCACGUGGGACGUUGGUGAAGGACAUCUCGGACUUCAAAGCCACCCGUCCCCUUGGAGGGUGGCAGGACAGUUGAAAGGAUUUCCCUCUUUUUUUUCUGACGAAACCAGCAUUUUUUUGUUGAAUCUGAGAUCUCAGUGGUUUUUUUCAUGGGUCAGAUCUGAUACCAAAAA